rnacentral:tRNA from 1 species
ACGGGGAUGGGCUAACGGUAUGCCUCCGGGCUUUGAACCCGGCCACCAUGAAGGUUCGACUCCUUCUCCCCGUGC